rnacentral:rRNA from 1 species
AAAAGCUCGUAGUUGGAUCUGGGUCGCACGGCCACAUGCUGUGCUCAUGUUUUCUGCUCUUUUGGGGUGGAUAUGCGUGAGUCGGCGUAGUGGUUGUGCUGCCUUUCUGCCGUGUCUGUGUAUACGGGUGCUGGCUGGCCCGAUGGGUUCGUCCUGUUGGCCAGUUGGCAUGCUCCUUGAUGCCUUUAACACGGUGUCGGGGGCGGACGGCACGUUUACUUUGAACAAAUUUGAGUGCUCAAAGCAGGCCAAUGCGCCUGAAAAUUCUUGCAUGGAAUAAUGGAAUAGGACUUCGGUUCUAUUUUGUUGGUUUUCGGAUCCGAAGUAAUGGUUAAGAGGGACAGACGGGGGCAUUUGUAUGGCGGUGUUAGAGGUGAAAUUCUUGGAUCGCCGCCAGACAAACUACAGCGAAAGCAUUUGCCAAGGAUGUUUUCAUUGAUCUGGAGCGAAAGUCAGAGGUUCGAAGACGAUCAGAUACCGUCCUAGUUCUGACCAUAAACGAUGCCAACUGACGAUCCGUGGUGGUUCUUUUAUUGGCCCCGCGGGCAGUCCCC